rnacentral:rRNA from 1 species
UACGUAGGCAGCGAGCGUUGUUCGGAGUUACUGGGCGUAAAGCGUGCGCAGGCGGUUUUGUAAGCCAGAUGUGAAAUCCCCGGGCUUAACCUGGGAAUGGCAUUUGGGACUGCAAGGCUUGAGUGCGGCAGAGGAGACUGGAAUUCCUGGUGUAGCAGUGAAAUGCGUAGAUAUCAGGAGGAAUACCGAUGGCGAAGGCAGGUCUCUGGGCUGACACUGACGCUCAUGCACGAAAGCGUGGGGAGCAAACAGG